ACCAUUCUGACGAACUUGCGUGCUGCGUCAUCACUGUGCGUCACAUUGGCGACGUCGGCGCUCGAGCUGCACUCGGCAGGGCUCUUGGCAGCGCCCUGGGCUCUGAGGUUGUCUUGGCAACCCCGGAUCAGAUUUCGGCCGCCAGCGUCCACAGCCUAAGGCUUUUGGUGACUAAUUUAUGCUCCUUGAAACAAGUACCAGGCAGAACCUGGACUAAAGGAUGAGAUCAACACUUUUAACAAGAGAACAGGACUCUAUAUAAAUCGCUGUGGGCUCACCACCUCUAAGGAGGAGCACUGACUGAAGACAGGGUCUCACUCUGUGGCCCAGGCUGAUGUGCAGUGGUGUGAUCACAGCUCACUGCAACCUCCAGUUCCUGGGCUCAAGCGAUCCUCCCACCUCAGCCUCCCGAGUGGCUGGGACUACAGUUACCUGUAAUUAAGAAUGUCAGAAGAACCGAGCCUCCAUUCUAAAGUUUCUGUGGUGAAGUCAUCUGUAUUUCCUAGGUCAGUAAACCCAACAACAUAAUCUUGUGUUUUCCCAUCUUUUAGCAGUGCUAAUGUGGGAAUGACUUUGAUACGCAGUCUCUCACAAAGGAAAGGUGCUUUUUCCACAUUCAGCUUCAAAAAUUUGGUCUCGAGGUGUUUCUUGGACAAUAUCGCCAGAUGUCUGUCUAGUAUUUUACACCUGAAACUUGAAGAGGAACAAACUGAAACUUGACAGAACUCGGAAGAGACUUACAAGAAUCAGAAGUGCACACAUGGUGCCAUAUUUGGAAGUCAUGAAGAAAAACUGAACAUCAUUACUGAGGAAAAACUUCUUACUCCUAAAUAUGCAACACUGUCAGUAAGAAGCACAUUAAGGCUAAGGGUUACUAAUAAUAUUUAAAUAAAUGUGGCCAUUAUGCUUCUAGGGAAUUAAAAAAUACCAGUAGUAACUUUUUUAUUUUUUAUUUUUUUGGAGGUAGAGUAUUGCUCUGUCACCCAGGCUGGAGUGCAGUGGCAUGAGCUCGGCUCACUGCAAGCUCCACCUCCCUGGUUCAUGCCAUUCUCCUGCCUCAGCCUCCCGAGUAGCUGGGACUACAGGCACCUGCCACCACGCCCGGCUAAUUUUUUGUAUUUUUAGUAGAGACGGGGUUUCACCGUGUUAGCCAGGAUGGUCUUCAUCUCCUGACUUCGUGAUCCGCCUGCCUCAGCCUCCCAAAGUGCUGGGAUUACAGGCGUGAGCCACUGCACCCAGCCCACCAGUAGUAACUUUUAUUAAGCCAUCUUCCAAUGAAGAUGGAAACAGAAGUGAGAUUUUCUUGGCCAGGUGCGGUGGCUCACUCCUGUAAUCUUGGCACUUUGGGAGGCUGAGGCAGGCGGAUCACUUGAAGUCAGUAGUUUGAGACCAGCCUAGCCAACACGGUGAAACCCUGUCUCUACUAAAAAUACAAAAAUUAGCUGGGUGUGGUGGUGCAUGCCUGUAGGCCCAGCUACUUGGGAGGCUGAGGCAGGAGAAUCACUUGAACCUGGGAGGUGGAGGCUGCAGUGAGCCGAAAUUGUGCCAUUGUACUCCAACCUGGGCAACAUAGUGAGACUCCACCUCAACAAACAAACAAAAAACAAACAAAAAAAGUGACAUCUUCUUUACAUUAAAAUUUAUUUUCUGGGCAACACAGUGAGACUCCAUCUCAACAAACAAAAAACAAACAAAAAAGUGACAUCUUCUUUACAUUAAAAUGUAUUUUCUGGCCUGAUGCAGUGGCUCACGCCUGUAAUCCCAACACUUUGGGAGGCUGAGGUGGGCAGAUCACUUGAGGCCAAGAGUUCAAGACCAGCCUGGUCAAUAUGGUGAAACCCCAUCUCUACUAAAAAUAAUAAAAAUUAGCUGGGCGUCAUGAUGGGCACCUGAAACCCCAGCUACACAGAAGGCUGAGGCACGAGAAUCACUUGAACCUGGGAGGUGGGAGUUACAGUGAGCUAAGAUUAUACCACUGCACUCCAGGCUAGGCGACAGAGUGAGACUCUGUCUCAAAAAAUCUGUAAAUUGACUUAAAAUUUUUUUUAAGGUGAUGGAAAUGUUAUAAAAUUAGAUUGUGGUGGUAGUUGGACACCUCUGUAAAUAGACUAGAAUUUAUUAAAUUGGGCAUUUAAAAUGGAUGAAUUUUAUGGCAUUAAAUUACAUUCUAAUAAAGCUGUUUGAAAACAAAGCAAAAUACUGCUCUACAGGGCAGUGAAUUUGCUUCAGGGCAUCUAUGGACUCUUCAAAAGUAUAUCAUAAAUUUUAUUUUUCUGGGAAAGAGAACAUAGCUUUUAUUAGAUUCUCAAAGGGAUCUAAGACCCAUAAAACUUUUUAAGAACCACUAGAUUAAACUGUCAAUUUCCUCCUACCACUAAAAUUCUAUGACUCUAAAAUUCUAAAGUUUAUUUCUUCAAAAUUAAAAUGAUUAAAAAAAAUUUCAUUUCCAAAAAAAAAAAAAAAAAAAAAAUUCAUUUUCGACUGGCCAAUUCACGAGUGUUUCUAAAACAGACUGUUGUAACAAUCUUUUAGACCGGUCAUUCUUAACCCCAGGUGUUCAUUAUGAUCAACUUUUACUUAUUUAUUUUGAGUUGGACUCUCACUCUUGUCACCCAGGCUGGAGUGCAGUGGCGCGAUCUCAGCUCACUGUAACCUCUGCCUCCUGGGUUCAAUCGAUUCUCCUGCUUCAGGCUCCCAAGUAGCUGGGAUUACAGGCACCUGCCACCAUGCCCGGCUAAUUUUUGUAUUUUUAGUAGUGAUGGGGUUUCACCAUGUUGACUAGGCUGGUCUUGAAUUGCUGACCUCAAGCAAUCCACCCGCCUCAGCCUCCCAAAGUGCUGGGAUUAGAGGUGUGAGCUACCACACCCAGCCUGCCGUCAACUUUUAAAAUAUCCAGAUGAAUCAAAAUUCUCUGGCAGUGGAGUUGGGAAACAUACAGCUGUUCUUAUGCUCAAAUAAAGCUUGAGAACUACCUCUUUAGAUGACUAACACACAAAAUACUUCAUGGUUAUUUUUACCAGUAAGCUUUAUGUGUAUUUGAUGUAGUUUUUCCUGAACUAAGUUUGGGUCUAACAUAAGUUAUGUGUAACCUUGGUGCCUCAUCACUUUUUCCCUGGAUAUAUCUUUUCAUAUGUCACUCAUGUAGUUCAGUAACAAGAUUUCAGUGAAAAAUGGUAAGAGAGAACAAAUUAAUAAAUGGUUUUUAAAUAAAGCUCAAAACAAAUGAUAAAUCAACCUUCAUAUGAGAAAUAUGUUCCUGAAAAUUUGUAAAUAAAUCAACUCCAUACUUUAACUGCAGUAAGGAACGUAUUUUUUUUUUUUUUUGAGAUGGAGUCUCGCUCUGUCGCCCAGGCUAGAGUGCAGUGACACGACCUCUGCUCACUAUAACCUCCACCUCCUGGGUUCAAGCAAUUCUCCUGUCUCAGCCUCCUGAGAAGCUAGGAUUACAGGCACCCGCACCAUGCCUGGCUAAUUUUAAUUUGUAUUUAAAGAGCAAGACAGAGUCUUGCUCUGUUGCCAGGCUGGAGUGCAGUGGCACGAUCUCGGCUCAAUGCAACCUCCACCUCCCAGGUUCAAGCAAUUCCCCUGCCUCAGCCUCCUGUGCAACUGGGACUACAGGCACAUGCCACCAUGCCCGGCUAAUUUUUUGUAUUUUAGUAGAGAUGGGUUUUCACCAUGUUGGCCAGGAUGGCCUCGAUCUCCUGACCUCAUGAUCCACCUGCCUCGGCCUCCCAAAGUACUGGGAUUACAGGCAUGAGCCAUGGCGCCCAACCCGUCAAUCAGUUUUUAAAAAUCCAAAACAACAGUCACGGUAUAAAUAGCUAUAGGCCUUUAUGUACGUUUAAAAAUAACUAAAAGAGCAUAAUUAGAUUGUUUAUAACACAAAGGAUAAAAGCUUGAGGUGAUGGAUACUCCAUUUACCCUGAUGUGAUUAUUAAACAUUGCAUGUCUGUGUUAAAAUAUCUCAUGUACCCCAUAUUUACCUACUACUACCCACAAAAAUUAAAAAUUAAAAAAAUAGCAAUGGGCUUAAAA